rnacentral:snRNA from 1 species
AUGCUUAUCUGGCAGGGAAGAUACCAUGAUCACGAAGGUGGUUUUCCCAGGGUGAGGCUUAUCCAUUGCACUCCUGAUGUGCUGCUGACCCCUGCGAUUUCUCCAAAUGUGGGAAACUCGACUGCAUAAUUUGUGGUCGUGGGGGACUGCGUUUGUGCACUCCCCUG